CUGACUCAAGCAAACAGCAUAGAGCUCAUAGACAUUGCAUGAGCACUGAAAUCCUGUUUAUAUAGCAUCAGCUUCAUUGGACAGGAUGUCUGACAACUGGCUCCCAAAACAGGUCUUAAACUCUCAACUCACUCUAAAGGUGGAUAAUGGCCUUCAAGGUAUAGUUGAACCUCAUCUGAAGAAAUGUGAUAUUGACAUCAAUAUCUGGGAGUCUCGAGCACUAAAUCAUCCUCCAUGGCUCUGUCAUGUACAACAAGGCAUUGAUCACUUUUUGAGCUGACUUCACUUGGGGUGGAUAGAUGAGAGACAAAUGGAAGAGCCUGUGACCCAGCAUCACCAGGUCCCCCUCCUUUUUCCUGCAUCUUUAUGCCACACCAGCAGUCGAACAUGUGGAUCUCAAAUCUGCUUCCCCAGACAGACAUCUCCAGAUUCCUUGAUGCCUUUCCUAUUUACUGGAAGUCUAUCAUCGUGUAUCAAGGGACCACUACCAAUAACAACAACAGAAUAGGCUCAGCUGCAUAAGUGUCAGUCCUGACUUGUUGCUCAGAUUGUAAGAAGCAGCCACUGUCUGCUUUCUUCAGCCCCAAAGUCUACUCUGCCAGAAAUAGUGAAGGAGAAGCAUCUGGGAAAGGCUGCUAUUAAGAGCCUUGAAAAUAAUGGACAGUAGUCAGUUUGGGGGCUGGUAAGCCUGACAUCACUGUAUAUUUAAAAGCAUUGUUUCCAUUUAUUUUGGUUAAGUGCACACUCUGGUUAAGUCCUUUCCCAAUCCUGAAGCAGUUUUUUAUUCUUUAUUUUAUUCUUUAAAUGAAGCAGUCUGUAUUUCUCUUGGGGAAUGAUUGAUUCCAGUUCACUUCACUGAUGUGGUUUGAGUGCGAAAGUGUUGCAGGAAUGGGCCCAUGCAUUUUAAAACAUCAUUGCUACUUGAAUCAGCUGUCCAGAGCUCUGGUGCACACAUUCCAGCUGGUGUUAUCAUGGCUUAACAUGGCCCAAGGACUGAGCCAAGCAAAUUACCCAAGUCGCGUAGAACUCCGAGGUCCCAGCACUCUCAUCGCCUUAUCUCACUGCAUGCCCGUAACUUGA
rnacentral:lncRNA from 1 species